CUGUCCACCGUGAGUGACCCUGCUGGUAUAUGAAACAGGGAUGGUGUAGUUUUCAGCAACAUGCAGCUGACACAGGGUGACAACAGACAGGAGGGUGGUGUGGUGCCCUGACCUGAUGGAGAAACAAACCUGAGCUGUGGUGGUGGGAGCACCGAAUCUUAACCACUAGACCCCCAAGGCUGGCUAUGUGACACUUAGUGGAUGCUUAGUAAAUAUUUGUUGAUUUAAUGGAUAAAUGAGAAACGUUUGGUAUGUUUCAGAUUUAAAUGAGUACGACUGUAUGAAGCUUGCCAGAUCUGAGCUAAAAGAAUAUGAUUGGCUUGCCAGUCACACUGCUAGUCUUGGAUUGGGAUUUUGCAUCAUCUAAAGGAUGGUUUCUUCUCAAGAAAAACUUCCGAGCAGAACCAGGCCGCUGUUACAACUGAGAUCAUCCUUCUGUGUGCGUCUAGACGUUUUAUAUGCCAAAGGAGAGUGCUUCCUAUGCAUGUCUGAGCUAUAAAGCUCACCAUCGCUGUCUCCAAACUGUUGUAAAUGCUUUUAGGUAUUUGAAAUUACUAAUAUUACUACAGAGGCUACCAUGUUUGUACCUCAGCCUUACAUUUUGCCAGGGACUUUCUUACCCUUGGUUAUGGAAGAAUCUCAGAAAUUCUGCUCAUCUAGAAAAGAUGCAUGGAAUGUCAUGUAGGAGAAGAUGCCUGCAGCAGACAGCGCACUGACAUUCCUUUCUGCGGGGGCCUAGGACUGCCUGUUACUGGGCUGGGGGCUAGCACAUUGUUGAUGCACAGCACUCUGGAGUCCGCAGGCAAACCGGAUGGAGAGUGAGCUUCUAUGCCUAUCACUUAUGCCUUCACUUGUCCUGGAUCCCACAACAAAAGAUGGUAGGGCACCAUAUUGAAACAAAUGAGAUCUGACAAAAACUGCAUGAUAUUUGUCAAUGGAGGAAAGACACAAAUAUUUAUCUAGCACAGUGCACUAUAUGGAAUUCAUGUGUGACAUCUGUGGUGUCACUGAAUCCUUGCUGUGAAUCUGUGAGGUGCACAGUAUCAUUGUUUAUACAGCUAUUCCCCAACAGAGGCUUUCUCCAGGUCUCACAAGAUGUUUUAGAAGUGGGAUUUAUACCUGGGAUGAUUUAACUUCAAAGAUACAACAGGCACAAAAAUAUGAGAAUUUAAAUAAAAUGCGUAUGUGCUGAGAAACUACA
rnacentral:lncRNA from 1 species